rnacentral:SRP_RNA from 1 species
GUCUUACGCAAUAGAAGUUGUGAACCGUGUCAGGUCGGGAACGAAGCAGCACUAAGCAAUCUCCUCUAUGUGCCGUAAGG